GACGAACGCUGGCGGCGUGCUUAACACAUGCAAGUCGAACGGAAAGGCCCUGCUUUUGUGGGGUGCUCGAGUGGCGAACGGGUGAGUAACACGUGAGUAACCUGCCCUUGACUUUGGGAUAACUUCAGGAAACUGGGGCUAAUACCGGAUAGGAGCUCCUGCUGCAUGGUGGGGGUUGGAAAGUUUCGGCGGUUGGGGAUGGACUCGCGGCUUAUCAGCUUGUUGGUGGGGUAGUGGCUUACCAAGGCUUUGACGGGUAGCCGGCCUGAGAGGCUGACCGGCCACAUUGGGACUGAGAUACGGCCCAGACUCCUACGGGAGGCAGCAGUGGGGAAUAUUGCACAAUGGGCGGAAGCCUGAUGCAGCAACGCCGCGUGCGGGAUGACGGCCUUCGGGUUGUAAACCGCUUUCGCCGGUGACGAAGCGUGAGUGACGGUAAUGAGUAAAGAAGCAACGGCUAACUACGUG
rnacentral:rRNA from 1 species